ACGCUCGACACCUACGGGAGGCCAGCAGUGGGGAAUAUUGCACAAUGGGGGAAACCCUGAUGCAGCGACGCCGCGUGGAGGAAGAAGGUCUUCGGAUUGUAAACUCCUGUUGUUGGGGAAAAAGAGGAUGGUACCCAACAAGGAAGUGACGGCUAACUACGUGCCGGCAGCCGCGGUAAUCUGAGCGGGCUGGCAAGGC
rnacentral:rRNA from 1 species